CAAAAGCAAAGUAUAAAAAAGACUACUAAAUAAAUGAGAAGAAGGAAAGAGAAGGAAACAUAUGCAAAGUUCAUUUAACCCCACAUCUCUAUAAAAAUCCUUUGAGGAAAUGGACUCAAAGUUUCUUCAACCUCAUCUGGGAAAGCAAAUAGGACUUUGAUAGCUUUAUCAAAGGGCUUGUAAGGGUGCAUAAACAAGGACAUAUGUCGAAGUGAAAGAAAGUGAAGGGAAAAAGAAAUUGUAUUUUUUAUAUGCUUCUUUUUUGAAGUCAGCUGGAAAUUGGAGUGCAGAAAUCUUGCUCAUCAGUGCAAAGCUAAUGAUGGCAGGAAACCCUAGCCGGUGGAGCUUGCAUCCACCAUCACAGCAGCCUUCUUCUUUGUUAUCUUCAUCUCUUUCUCCAUCUCUCUUCCCUUCCCAAUAUGUGCUCGGAUCUUCUUCUUCACUUCCUUUCAAUUCUUUGACUGAUAACCAAGAGCUUCCUCAGUCAUGGAGCCAACUACUUUUGGGUGGUUUGUCAGGAGAAGAAGAAGGCAGGUUUGGCCUGAGUCACUUUCAACCCAAAAAGUUAGAGAAUUGGGAAGACCAAAUCUUGAAUCCAUAUUCAAGGGUUCCUGUAGUUGCUGAUGUAAAACAAGAAAUUCCUCAAAAUAGCAAUUUGUACGGUCAUGGAGACGAAGAAUUUCAGCCGCCCAGGCCUACUUGGUCACAAGUCAUGCCAGUAUCUUCUCCUAAGUCUUGUGUUACAACUCUAAGUAGUAAUAUACUGGACUUCUCUUAUAACAAACCUGAUGUGAGGAAUCAACAUCCAGAUCAAUCAUCUAUGUGCAAUAGUACAGUCACAGGUGGAAUGUGCAAGAAGCCUAGGGUUCAGCAGUCUUCAACCCAACCACCUCUAAAGGUGAGGAAGGAGAAAUUGGGUGAUAGAAUCACAGCUCUUCACCAGCUAGUUUCCCCAUUUGGAAAGACUGACACAGCUUCUGUCUUGUUAGAAGCUAUUGGAUAUAUCAGAUUCCUUCAGGGUCAAAUUGAGGUGAUGUUUCUUUCACAUUUUUUAUGCUCUCUGCAACCAAUUCAGAAUCAGUGAGAAGCAUGCAGUUAAAGUGCUCAAUUAUUCAUGCUUUUUCUAAUCAUUAAUUCUUUAGUUGUGGAAGUCAUCAAUCUUAUUCUUUUUUCCCUCCUUUCAAUUUUGCAGGCCCUUAGCUCCCCUUACUUGGGCUCUUCAUCGUCAAACAUGAGGAACCAACAGUCUGUUCAAGGAGAAAGAAAUUCCGUGUUUCCUGAAGACCCAGGUCAGUUGUUGAACGACAUCUGCCUGAAAAGAAAAGGAGGUUCUAACCUGCAGGUACUGAUCUUGUUUUUCUUUGUGCAGUAUCUUUAUAGUUUUUGUACACUAACUUCGUUUUCUCCUUCAUUGGACUUAUUAUUAUUCUUUAGUGUGUGUGUGUAUAUAUAUAUACAUUUAUACUUUUUCUUUUAUACAUUAUUACUUUACAAUCAUCAUUAUCCUCAUCCUCAUCAUGGCUCUACUAUAUUAUAUUAUGCACUUUCAAAUUAGAUCAUUGGUAGGAAUUAAUUAGGUUUAUAAGAGAAGGGUAUUGAUACCUUUAUCAUAAAUGUAUCAGGAUAGCCAUGAAAUGCCAAAGGACUUGAGGAGCAGAGGGCUGUGCUUGGUUCCUGUGUCUUGCACUCAGCAUGUUGGAAGUGAUAAUGGUGCUGACUAUUGGGCUCCGGCAAUCGGUGGGGGGUUUUGAAGCUAUCUCUGUGGCAUUUUUUUAUUUUUUUUUGAUGAAAUGGAGCUUUUAAUUGAAUGAAAUAACAUCAUGAGCAGUCACUCUG
rnacentral:misc_RNA from 1 species